GUAUAAUGCAAAAUCAACUCACAUCUCAACAGCCAGGGCCACAAGCAUGGAAGCAGCAACCCCACAACUCACAAAUCCUGGGAUUAGGCAGGAUGGCAAAGUCAGCCAGCAGAAAGAAGAGGCCAUAUGAACCUGUCAUCAAACCACAGGAGAGUCUCCUUAUUUGGGGGUUUCAUUGUUCUGCCCUGGUGGUACAGCUGGAGAGACGUCAGAUCUUCAAAGGAAAAGUGGAGGAACACCAGCCAGAGCUGGAUGAAGUAAGGAUGGUGUGUCAGUGGUCCUGGAUGAAGCCUGCCCCAGCUCUGUGAACAGCUGCAGUGUUGGCAAACACGGACUCUUCUCCCUGGAGUUUCUCCUAUGGAAAUGAGGAUGCUUGCCACGGGGGUGGUGGGAUCUUUUUGGAGCCUUUUCAGUAUGACAGCGUGAGGUUGAUAUACAUCCUGAUCCUGGCUGCUUCCCAAUCUCUUCUCUCUGGGUUUGUAUGGUACUGAGAAGCUCUGGGAAAAGCUGUAAACACUGGCAACGAUCGAUGCACAGCCACGGGGGUAAAAAUAGAGAGCUGAGCUCUUCCACAAAGUGCUUAUAAAAUCCAUCAACUUGGGGCUUCCCUCUUUAGCUCUUCCCUUGACAGAUUUCAGGAUGUGUGGAAGAACUGAAAGCUGCAGGAAAGGCUGGAAACAGCUUCAGCCCACUGGCCAAAUCUCCUUAACAGAGCCCAGCAUCCCCGAGAAGAAACAGACAGGGCAAAGAGCCCCUCCACGACUUGGGGAAAGGAGCUGCAGCUCCCAGGGGCAAAAUCCCCUGGGGCAGCCCUUGCCUUCUCCCUGGGGAAAGGUGGGAUGAGGGAAGGGUGUGCUUCUGCCUGGCCUGAGCCUUCUCUUCCCACUGUCUUUUCUCUUUUUUGUAUUUCUGCCUAAGCAAGACAUGAAUAUUCAACUAAAAUUUAAUGUGUAAAAAAUGCACUUUUUCAAGAAUCAUUCAAUAUUGUUUCCAUUAUCUCAUUGGGGUGCAAGAGAACUAGGGGCUCUUAAGACUCCUGAGGCGAAUUUAUUUGCUUUGAAGGAGCUGCUGUCAGUAUCCAACAUUCUUUGUAGUGUUUCAGGCCUACAGAAACUGGAACCUGAGUGACAGACUGGGCACAGGCACAGCGGUCCGUGUGGCUGGAACCGAGGAGAUACAAUUUGUGCGCGCGUUCUCUUAGAAGAGUUGGUGAUACAUGUUCUGUGCACCCUACUGCACUGUACCAGCGCUUCCCGCGGCACAGCUUUGCACCAGGGCUUCGGAAGGACGGGGUGGCGGUGCGCCGUGCCGAUGUCCCCGUGCCGGGCACAGCGAG